AGUGUUGAAGUGUGAUGAGUUUGUCAUGUCUCUUCUCUGACUAAAACGUGGAGAAACAUUCAAAUCUCUCUGAUCUCAGCACU
rnacentral:snoRNA from 1 species